rnacentral:lncRNA from 1 species
UAGACGUAGAAAGAAAAAUGGUAUAAACCAAAAAUAAAAGCACAAAGUACGUUAAAAAUUCAACCCAUGAAGAAUUCACAGAAACAAAUCCAUUGAAAUCCAAGAUUGAUCAUCAUCUAAAGAACAAGACCCACAAAUAUCCUUCAAUAUUCACGCAAAUGUACCAAAAAGAACUUAAUCAUAACGAUCACAGCAAGAAAAAAAAACUGUUGAAAUAAGCAUACAAAAAAUAAAAAGAAUACCCACCAACUUACUAGUUAUACUUAUUCGAUCCAAACACAAAAAGCACAAAUUCUUUAGAUGCACCGAAAAUGCUUGUAGAAUUCACUUAAAUAAAUCUAACAAACAGAAAAUUGAACCCAUGGUAAUCAAGAUUCAAGACAAUGCACCAAAAAUGUAAAAAUUAAAGAAACAAAGAGAACAUGAUACACUUAGAAGUUAGAACACAAUUGCUGAAGUAAGCAUACAUAAAACGAAAAGUGAACCCAAAACUAAUCAAUAUUCAAAUCAAAUACAAAUUUCAUGUAAGAUUCAGCCAAUAUAAAAUUCAAAGAACAAAACAAAUACAGUAUAAUCCAAGAUUGAUUAUCAGUCCAAAAGGGUAAAUACUUCAAGACCCAUCCAUAUGCACCAAAAAAGAUCUCAAUUAUAAAGACAAAGGAAUUACAUAAACAACAGAGAACAUUAUCACUCUAGGUAUACAAUUGCUGAAAUAGCCAUACAUUGAACGAAAAGAAACACCAAACACAACCAUUAAAGAUCCAGCUGAAACUCACAUAGAUUUCACAGAAAUAAUCAUAGCGAAACCCAAAAUUGACCAUGAAUUCAACCCAGAAAAUUUCUUAUAAGAUGCAUUCUAAUGAACCAACAAAGAACAAUAUUUAAUGGAAACAAAAGAUAACACAAUUGCUGAAUCCCAUAACUUAGAGAUUCAAUGAAAAGCAUCAGAAAAUUCACAAAAACAGAAUCCAUUGGAACCCGAUUUAUCAUCAUGUAUAUAAAGAAAUUAUAGAAAUAAUUGUGAAAAUGUGACUUACCUGUUUUUUUUGUUAACUAUCUUAUUAUUAACUUACUUCUCGGUUGAUCUGGAACAGCACUUGAAUUCAUCGUCAAAAAUCCUCUUCCAAUUCUUCUUGAUGGAAAAAUACAUACACUAAAAACACUCGGAAAAUGGACAAAAAAACUCUAGUGUUUAAAAUUGAUCUUCAGUUGGACCAGAGAAGGAAAACGCCGAAUUUUAGCUAUCCUUCAAGAUUCAUUCUAUGCAGGAAUAAGAACAUUCAUCUUAUAUUAGUAAAGAAAUUAUUGUAUUUGUCUUUAAACUCGCCUGUUUUAUUUGUUGUAGUACUUGAAUCCGUCUUCAGAAAUACUUUUGUAGUUCUUCAUGAUAGAGAACCCCUAAACUCAUCGCUCAAAACGCUAAUAGAAAACCCCAAAGACUCGCCUCUAGUUGAGGGACGUGGGGGUUAUAUAAAAGUAAUGCAUAA